rnacentral:lncRNA from 1 species
AUCCUAGAUGAAAGAAUAGUUAACCCUCAGCAUAGUUGUAUCUUUAAAAAAAUGGCUUGAAGUGUUUUUGUUUGACAGUUUUACCUUUUCUAAACCUAGACGAGUGCUUUCAUCUAUCGGAAAGAGCUGCAACUUAAUCUUAGUGGAAGGAUGAAGUCUUUCUUCUGUAUUCAAGUAAAGUGCAGGUAUUGUAAUUCCUUCCACAAUUCUGGUUUUUGUAGUUUUAGACCUUGAAGAUGGUGCUUCACCUGAACCACUAGGUAAUGAAUGCUCAUCCUUUUCUGUUUUUCCUAAAUUAGAAGACAAAAAACUUAUAGUUAAAAGCACAAUUCAAGUACUCCAAUUUAUGAAAGAAAUCAACAUUUAUACUUAAAAAGAUAAAUUUCUUAGUAAGGCAACAAGUCCAGCGUCCUGCCUGUUGCUCCCUGAAGCUGCUGCUCAACUCUUGUCUUUCUAGAUCUAUCGACUCCCUUACAACCUUCGUGCACAUUGAUUUCUGAAUGUGGUUCUAACGCUUUUAUCCUUCUCUUUCUAUUAGUUCCCAUGUGAUAAAAGUUUUCCUAUCAACCAAACCAACCAUAAACAACAUUAAACUGAAAGUGCUUUACCAAAAAUAUCCACCAACAUUAAACACAAAACAAAACAAAACAAAAAAAAAUAAAAAUUCUUCUGAAACUCCAUUUCUAUGAGAGUCUGCCACCGCUAGCCUUUAAUUAAAAAUCAGUGCAUAACAUAAUAUUUCAAUCUCUAAAAGACAGUUUUUUUUUUUAAAUCUAAAUCCCAACUUUAAACACGGAGUAGUUUUAAGCCUUUCGGUUUCAUUGGAAUAUUUAGGGUUCAGCAUUUUAGAACUAACAACUGAAGCAAAAAUGUUCCUUAGAUUAAAAAGAAAAAAGAAAAAAAAAACUAUAUUCAUGAACUGCAUACUCAAGCAAUGCCAAAGAGGAUUCGAUUAAAUAGCCGGCGGUUCAAACCCUAAUUCUCAAAUUAGGGAUACAAGAAAAUAUAUAUUAAAGCAUAACGGACUUUAUACAUUAACUGGAAAAUAAAUAAGGUCCUGACUAAAGCAUCAAAUUGAAAUCACAAAUCAUCUGAAAAUUUUUAGUCAGUACCAUAAGGAUUGAUCUUUAGCAACAUAUGUUGAAAUUAAAAGAAAAUAUCAGGAAUUAAAGAUGAACAAUUUACAAAUAAAUCUAACUAAAAUUCUCAAUUCUAUAAAUAAAAAAUAAAAAAAGAGUUUUAGUUUAACCUGAAUAGAAUCAGAGCAGCGCAAAUUUGAAAAGUGGUGAAUAGUAGUGGCGGGAAUUUGAGGAUCUCGAAGAAAAGGUUUUCAAGGGCGUAUUUGUUUCUGCAAAUAGUUAAAAAUGGACUUUCAAAUUCAAAGGUAAAUGCCGCCAAGUAAGUUUAUAUUUGGCUUAAACCAAAGAACGCCCCCAAACUAUAACAUUUUUCCCACUUAAGUACUUAAACAUUUUUUUUAUCAUUUUAGGUAUCUAGUCUCUUUUUUUUUCAUAUUGGUACUUGUAUUAGUCAACUGUUAGUUGACCGUUAAUUAAUUAUGUUCACUGAUGAUAUGGUCCAAUUACAUAAGGACAUGUAGCAAACAAAACCACAUAAGCAAUAUCAUAUCAUUAUUUAUAUAAAAUAAUUCCAAAAAACAAAAUAAUUUAUGUAAUUGAAAUUGAAAUUAGAAUAUAUAAAAUUUAAAAAAUAAAUUUAUGAAUGUUUAUAGUAUAUUAAAUAUAUUUUUCUUCCUUUCUAAUUUCCCCCUUUCUUUGUCGGUGUAAUUUUGAAGAAUGAAAUCAUUGUAACAAGUCUUUUGUAUAUCCUGUUCUUGGUAAAUCCUUGAAAUGGAUUCAUUUUCUAAAUGCUUCCAAAGAUGUUAAGUUCUUGCAAAUGAAGAAUACCUUACCAAUUCCUUGCAUUUUUGUAGAUAUCCCCUUGUCUCCGUUACAAAUGAAAUCAAAUGUUACGAGUUGGAAAAUUAAGCAAGGAAUGAAGAAUAAAAGAGUUAGUUAUUAGCGGUUAGUGCUUUAAGUCAAACGGUGAGUUUUGUUACUUGUUAAAACGGGGCGUAAUAUUUAGUUAAACGGUGCAUUUGGCUAUAACAGAAUUGCCACAUUGCUCUCUUGUUAUUUGUUUCCUUUUAAGUACAGGUUGUAUGGGGAAAAACAGUUAUGGAAAUAUUGAAGUAAACCUUCCUGUAACACCUCGUACCCGAGACCAUUGCUGGAGUCAGACACGAGGGGUUCGCAGACUUAAAUCACUUAUUUGCACAGUCUAUUUUAAAUUUCCAGACGAGCUGGCUAACUGCGUCACUAUCACCUUAAAAAUCAUAUCUCGAGUUCCAAAACUCGAAAACCAGUUCCGUAAAUUUUUUCUGAAACUAGACUCAUAUGUUCAUCUACAAAUUUUUUUCUAGAAUUUUUGGUUGAGCCAAUUAGUACAUUUUAUUAGCUAAAGUCUCCCCUGUUUCAGGGUUCGACUACACUGACCUUUGCGCAUUAUGACUUGGAUAUCUCCCUGUACAGGGCUUCAAUACUGAUGCUGUUUGUUUCUAUAGAAACUAGACUCGAAAGGGAAUCUAUACAUAUAUGGCAUGACUUAUAAUUAUCUUUGGUUAAUUUAUAAUGAAUUUCCAAAGUCGGAACAGGGAAUCCAGAAACCGUUCUGGCCCUGUCUCACGAAAACUUAAAUAUCUCUUAACAUAUUGUUCAUAUGAUCGUUUCGUUACUUUCCUAUGAAAAUAGAUUCAUCAAGGUUCGAUUACAUAAUUUACUCUAUUUAAUUCCAUUCCUACUAUUUUUAGUGAUUUUUCACAUUCACGUCACUGCUGCUAUCAGCAUCUAUUUUUAAGGUAGACUUUACCUAUUACAUAGUUUCCAUGAUUCAACUAGCCCUUUUUCAUAUAUAGCACAAAAUAUGAUCAUGAUUAACCAUUCCAAUGGCUAAUCGUUCCCAAACAUUUCCAUACCUCUUAAUGAACAUCAUACAAGACGAUUAUAAUAUUAAGCUCAAAGUGUAUAUAAGCCAUUUUCGCAUGGCUAUCCAAAUUUAUACAAAACCAAAGGGUCCAUGACCAAUAACAAAAAGGGUAGUCCUAUACAUGUCAUUUCAAAGUUCAACCAAAAGUGUACCAAAAGGGGCUUUGAUAGUGUGGGAGACUUCGACUUCAAUAAUCCCGAGUCCGAUAGCUGACGAACCAAAAUCUAUAAACCAGAGAUUCAAAGAACGGAGUAAGCAUUUAAUGCUUAGUAAGUUUUGAGCAAUGGAAUUAGGCUCAGCUGAAGUAUAGCAUUCAUAUAACUAAACGGAUAAUUUCAUAUACACAUAUAUUCUCAAAGAUCAGUCCUACUUCACAUUUCCAACCCUUAUAUUCAUACAUAAGGGAUCAACUUAACCAAAACCGGAAGCUCCUUAAUCGACUGAGCGAAUACUAUUUAAGAGGAAUCAAUUAAUUCAAUGCAUGUACAACACAUACCUCGUUGUUGAGUUUUUACGAGCGUAUUAAUUGAAAUUAUUACAGCAGAUCACUCAUUCCCAAAUCACGUACCUUCAGAAUUUAACCGGAUAUAGCUACUCACUCAAAUGCCUUCGGGACAUAGCCCGGUUAGAGUAACUCGCACAAUUGCCUUCGGGACUUAGCCCGGAUUUAGUAACUCACACAAAUGCCUUCGGGACUUAUCACGGAUUUAGUAACUCGCACAAAUGCCUUCGGGACUUGCCCGGAACUAGUCACUAGCGCAGAUGCCUUCGGGACUUAGCCCGGUUAUCAUCCAAAUAUUCAUACACAUAUCAAUAAAUCAUGACACAUUUAUAUUUCAUUUUCAUAAUUGGAGUUCAAACACACGUCACGUAUUAAGCAAUCCCAUUUUCGGCUCACUAGCCACAUACAAACAGCAUGGUUUAAUUUGCUUUAUGACACUAUCUCUAUGCACAUACGGCUACCCGUCAUACGUAUAGACUAAUUAACUCAACAUAUGAUUCAAGUAGAAUCGUCAUAUCACCGCAUAUUUGUUAUGCUCAUACAUCAUGACUUAAUCAAAUCGGUAACUAAGUCUCGUUACUCGAAAACUUACCUCGGAUGUUGUCGAACGAUUUCGAUGGCUAUUCGACCACUUUUUCCUUCCCUUUAUCGGAUUUAGUUCCCCUUUGCUCUUGAGCUUAAUUUAACAAAUAAAUUGAUUUAAUCAUUUGAGCAUCGAAAAGAGGAACUCAAGGUACUUAGCCCAUAUAUAUACAUUAGACAUUAAAGUCACAUACAUGUGAAAUCAUGCAUCAACUCAACAUAUUAACCCACACUCCCUUUUAGCCGAUUGUCUAAACCAAGAUAAAGGCAUCAAUAUGCUUGCCUCUAACCGAAUACAUGCAACACUAAUCUUCUCAUGUGGCCGAGUAUGCAUGUAUAUGUUGAGGCCAAUUAUAUACUUAAUACCACCCAUAAAUGGCAUACCAAUACAUCAUGUGCAAACAUAUAUAUAUGUGCAAGAGCCGAAUCAUAAGGUCGAUUAUAACCAUUUCAUAUAUUUUCAUCAUAUACCCGAAUGCACAAAUACAUUAUAAUAACUUCUAACUCAAAUCAUGUUACAAAUUUAUACUUCACAAGGAUAAAUCAUUAACCAAAUAUAAACAUAUAUCCGAAUUCACAUGUAUAUUUUAUUUUUACAUGAAGCAUAGCCGAAUCAUUUUAUCCAUGAGUAACAUAACAUACAAAUAUGCGGUGAUAUGAUGAUUCUACUUGAAUCAUAUGUUGAGUUAAUUAGUCUAUACGUAUGACGGGUAGCCGUAUGUGCAUAGAGAUAGUGUCAUAAAGCAAAUUAAACCAUGCUGUUUGUAUGUGGCUAUUAAGCCGAAAUUUGUAAGUGUGAUAAGUGUCUUGUGUUUGAGCUUUGGUAAUGAAAAUGAAAUAUGGAUGUGUCAUGAUUUAUUGAUAUAUGUGCAUGGUUAUUCGAAUGAUAUCCGAGCUAAGUCCCGAAGGCUUUUGUGCUAAGUGACUAUAUCUGGACUAAGAUCCGAAGGCAUUUGUGCGAGUUACUAUAUCCGGGCCAAAACCCGAAGGCAUUUGUGCGAGUUACUAAAUCCGGGCUGAGUCCCGAAGGCAUUUGUGCGAGUUACUAAAUACGGGCUAAGUCCCGAAGGCAAUUGUGCGAGUUACUCUAAUCGGGCUUUGUCCCGAAGGCAUUUGUGCGAGUGGUUAUAUUCGGCUAAAUCCCGAAGAUACUUGGGUUGGGAAUGAGCGAUCUUGCUGUAAUAAUUUCAAUUAAUACGCUCGUAAAAUCCCAACAAUGAGGUAUGUUUUGUACAUGCAUUGGAUUAAUUGAUUCCUUUUAAGUAGUAUUCGCUCAGUCGAUUAAUGAACUUCCGGCCUUUGGCUAAGUUGAUCUUUUGUGUGUGAAUAUAAGGGUUGGUAAUGUGAAGUAAGUAUGAUAUUGAGAUUUUGUGCAUAUGAAAUUAUCCGUUUAGCCAUAUGAAUGCUACAUUUUAGUUGUGUUUAAUUUUAUGCUCAAAACUUACUAAGCAUUAAAUGCUUACUCCGCUUCUUUGAAUCUCUGUUUUAUAGAUUUUGGUUCGUCAGCUAUCGGACUCGAAAUUAUUGAAGUCGAAGUCGCCCACACUAUCAAAGCCCCUUUUGGUACACUUUUGGUUGAACUUUGUAAUGGCAUGUAUAGGACUACCCUUUUUGUUGUUGGUCAUGUACCCUUGGGUCUUGUAUAAAUUUGGAUAGCCAUGCGAAAAUGGCUUAAAUAUACUUUGAUCAUAACAUUAUAAUCGUUUUGUAUGUUGUUCGCUGAGAGGUAUGGAAAUGUUUGGUAACGAUUAGCCAUUGGAAUGGUUAAUCAUGAUCAUUUUGGUGCUAUGUAUGACAACCUCUAGUUGAUUCAUGGAAAACCAUGAAAUAGGUAAAGUUUACCUUAAAAACAGAUGCUGGCAGCAGCAGUAGUGUGGAUUUGAAAAAUCACUAAAAAUAGUAGG